AUUCAAAACAUUGUGGAUUUAAAGACACAACCUGGGAUUGAAAGUGAUGUUUCCGCCCUGAGCUGGGCAAAUGAGACUGGAAUUAUGAUGUAAUUACACUCUGUCUCUCUCCAUCCUGUCUGUCUGUCUGUCUGUCUGUCUGUCUGUCUGUCUGUCUGUCUGUCUGUCUGUCCGUCCGUCCGUCCGUCCGUCCGUCCAUCCGUCCGGUUCUUCUCAUGAUACUUUUCCUCCCUACAACAGGUUCAUGAAGAAAGAUGGAUGAGAGACAUGUUUAAAGGGGAUAAAGAUAAAAUCAUGCAGAGUUUAUACUUCCACAGAACUCCUUUAACAGUAACAAAGUAAUGAACCCACUCAGCCGGGGUUUCUCCUGUUCAAGCAUCCCACCUUCUCGUCCCUCUGCUGCUCCUGCCGGCUGAGGUGGAGGAGGGGGAGGAGAAGGAGGAGGAGGAGGAGGAGAAGGAGGAGGAGGAAGAGGGAUGCAGGGAGAGCACACCUUACCUCCCUCCCUUUCUUUUUCCUCCCUCUGUCUGUCUCUUGCUCCUUCCUCACUCCACAGCGACAGCAGCACUCACCAACGAAACACCACUGGUUGCUGGCACAGUAACACACACAUUCACACACAGUCACACACACAUAUACACAUAUGAACACACUUUGAGAGGCAUCCUCACUAAAGGCAGAGACGCCCUUGGACUGCUGAAGGCGAGGUCUUGGCCGAUUGAGACGUAUCAUCUUUGACAGUCAGAGGUAUCCUGAUGCUGCAGAGUGGACGGAAGGUCCUUUACUUUGGUGAUAGAUGGUGACAUCACCUGCUUCGCUGCCAUCUUUGCCUCAGCUGUCACUUCGGCAUGUUCACCAGAUGUUGGCGCAUAUCUGGAGUUAACAGGAAAUGUCCAACUACUAAUGGUAGCUGGGUGCAUACUGCAAAGCCACAAAAGAAAUCUGGCCCAGGGAUGUUUGAGCAGGAGCACUUUGCAGACAGUCGGGAUAAGUGCUACUCUGCACCUAUAGGCUUGGGUUCUGUGUUACUUUGAAUCAAAGGCUUCAUUGAACUAAAUUGGUGCAUAGAACUACCUUCCUCAGGAAAAGGAGGGAACCUUUAAGUGCCCUCCUUUUCCUGUGAGUCUGCACCCGUUCAUGUGAGCCUUUACAUACAGACAUCUACAUUUCCUUUAUAGUCUGAAGAGCCAAACAAAGGCCUACCUGUGCACAUUUCUGGGAAACCUACCUUGGCUCCUCCAGCACAUUGGGCCCUUUCUAACUUGCAUGGGCCCCUCCGCUGUCCAACUCUUGUCUCUCACACUUGUGCCUCCUGACUACCGGUUUGUUUCACCCCU
rnacentral:lncRNA from 1 species